rnacentral:rRNA from 1 species
UACGAAAGGUGCAAGCGUUGUUCGGAAUGACUGGGCGUAAAGCGCACGUAGGCGGAUUUGCAAGUAGGAUGUGAAAGCCCCAGGCUUAACCUGGGAAUGGCAUUCUAAACUACAAAUCUUGAAUGCUCGAGAGGUUGGUGGAAUGCCUGGUGUAGGAGUGAAAUCCGUAGAUAUCAGGUGGAAUAUCGGAGGCGAAGGCGGCCAACUGGUGAUGCAUUGACGCUAAGGUGCGAAAGCGUGGGGAGCAAACAGG